UGGGGAAUAUUGGACAAUGGGCGAAAGCCUGAUCCAGCAAUGCAGCGUGUGUGAAGAAGGCCUGCGGGUUGUAAAGCACUUUCAGUAGGGAAGAUAAUGACGGUACCUACAGAAGAAGCACCGGCUAACUCCGUGCCAGCAGCCGCGGUAAUACGGAGGGUGCAAGCGUUAAUCGGAAUUACUGGGCGUAAAGAGUACGUAGGAUGUAAUGCAAGUCGGAUGUGAAAUCCCUGGGCUUAACCUAGGAACUGCAUUCGAAACUACAUUACUAGAGUGUAGUAGAGGAAAGCGGAAUUUCGGGUGUAGCGGUGAAAUGCGUAGAUAUCCGAAAGAACAUCAGUGGCGAAGGCGGCUUUCUGGACUAACACUGACUCUGAGGUACGAAAGCGUGGGGAGCAAACAGG
rnacentral:rRNA from 1 species